GCCUGGAUGGCUCAGUCAGUUAAGCACCUGACUUCAGCUCAGGUCAUGAUCCCACAUCUCAUGGGUUCAAGCCCUACUUCGGGCU
rnacentral:tRNA from 1 species